UUCCGUAAAUGAACCUGCGGAAGGAUCAUUACCGAGUGCGGGCCCUCUGGGUCCAACCUCCCAUCCGUGUCUAUCUGUACCCUGUUGCUUCGGCGUGGCCACGGCCCGCCGGAGACUAACAUUUGAACGCUGUCUGAAGUUUGCAGUCUGAGUUUUUAGUUAAACAAUCGUUAAAACUUUCAACAACGGAUCUCUUGGUUCCGGCAUCGAUGAAGAACGCAGCGAAAUGCGAUAAUUAAUGUGAAUUGCAGAAUUCAGUGAAUCAUCGAGUCUUUGAACGCACAUUGCGCCCCCUGGUAUUCCGGGGGGCAUGCCUGUCCGAGCGUCAUUGCUGCCCUCAAGCACGGCUUGUGUGUUGGGCUUCCGUCCCUGGCAACGGGGACGGGCCCAAAAGGCAGUGGCGGCACCAUGUCUGGUCCUCGAGCGUAUGGGGCUUUGUCACCCGCUCCCGUAGGUCCAGCUGGCAGCUAGCCUCGCAACCAAUCUUUUUUAACCAGGUGACCUCGGAUCA
rnacentral:rRNA from 1 species